AAUCUAUAUGCUAUAUUUCUACUCUCCCUAAAUACCUGACUGAGCUGAGGAGGUCCAAAAAUUGAGAAACUACGUUCAUUUGUUUUCCUUUGUAAAUUCUGCAUAAAGAGGUGAUGUUGAAAUGAAGCAGGAUGUGUCUCAUUCUGUCUUGCUGCACAUGUUUCUCUCUCACAAGGGCCUUACAGUCUAAGGAGGGGCUUAAAAAAACAGGAAAAGAUUUAAAAGCUAUAAAGAAGAUGCUACAAGUCAAGUAGCCCCAAGUCCCAGUUAUACAGACAAUGAGUUCUAUGGUUCAGGUUAGGGUUUGUGCGGGUUGUAGAAAGGGGGGAAAUGAGAUGGAGUCAUAAGUGUGUGUUCAAAGCUUUCAGUUUUAGUCUUGUUGCAGUCUACUGCUUUCCUACUUGAAAUUCAAGAUUCAAACACUCUGAGAUGAUGAGCCAAGCUUCAAGGAUUCUUCUGGCUGGAAAUGACUGGCUGAGAAAAUGCAUCCAGGGUCCAGGCAACUCCUGCAGUGAGGAGCUGAAGAUGAUGAAAUACAGCACUUAUAGAAGAAGACCUCCUUGAGAAGAAGAUGGGUGAGUGAAGGCAACAAGUAAUUGACACGGAUCGAGCAUCUACACCGGGUACCUUUGUGUGGCUCUCUUGGGGCUUGUGGCUGUCUGUAGGGGAGCCCAGCAAGCAA
rnacentral:lncRNA from 1 species